AGAGUUUGAUCAUGGCUCAGAUUGAACGCUGGCGGCAUGCUUAAUACAUGCAAGUCGAACGGUAACAGAUUCUUCGGAAUGCUGACGAGUGGCGGACGGGUGAGUAAUACAUAGGAAUCUGCCCAUGUAGUGGGGGACAACUUGGGGAAACUCAAGCUAAUACCGCAUAAUUCCUACGGGAUAAAGAGGGCCACUGCUUGCAAGCUCUUGCUACUGGAUGAGCCUAUGUCGGAUUAGUUAGUUGGUAAGGUAAUGGCUUACCAAGACAGCGAUCCGUAGCUGGUUUGAGAGGAUGAUCAGCCACACUGGGACUGAGACACGGCCCAGACUCCUACGGGAGGCAGCAGUAGGGAGUAUUGGACAAUGGGCGCAAGCCUGAUCCAGCAAUGCCGCGUGUGUGAAGAAGGCCUGCGGGUUGUAAAGUACUUUCAAUUGGGAAGAAAGAUUAUGAGUUAAUACCUUAUAAUAUUGACG
rnacentral:rRNA from 1 species